GUCACAUUUAAACUGUAGCAAGGAAGUGGAGAGAAGUGAACACUGGUGUUUAGCUCCCUUCCUCCUUUGGGACCUUUUCUUACUUUGGGAUCUCAUCUCAUGGAGUGGUACUAUACACAUUCAAGUGCUGACCUUUGGCCUUCUCUCAGGGAUGGAGAUAACUCGAUACUCCCAGUCACAGAGAAGGAAUUGAACAUCAAGGAGAAAGCAGUGUAAUGAAGCAUUUCAACUUGACUCAGGAGGCUCAGGUUAUCUCAUGGGUUGGGUCGUUGGCUACUCUGAAAAGGAUGAAGAAUGAAGUUGGAUUUUACAGGAGACUUCAACCAACUUCAGGGCUCACGGAGACAUCCUGCUGAGAAUUGAGUGUUCCCAGUUCUCUUCCUCUCUGCACAUUGUCUGGCUGUGGGUCUUUGUAAUUGUUCCAUCUGUUGCAGCAAGAAGCUUCUCUGACCCUCUAUGGCUCUGUGGAUGUGGCUUGCUUAGCUUCGACUUCAUAGCUAACAUUAACAUAUAAAACUGCAGUGGGAGGAAGACUGAUGUAAAGAGUGAAAGAGAAGAAAGAAAAGAAGAGCACAAUGUUUAUUGUGGAAACAUGGGCUCAGAAAACAUGAAUCCAGAAGACCUGGGAUUGUCAAGAUUCAAGAUUGUUAUGAACAAUCAUAUAUUG